AGCUUUGCGCAGUGGCGAUAUCGUAACCAAUAAGGUUCAUCCGAGGUGCGAUUAUUGAUAGUUGAAAAAACUAUAAAUUAUAAUAAUUAAUAAUAUUUACCACGUCGUUAAGUCGAAUUAGUUGUUUAUAUUCUGAGCUUAGUCUAUAAUA